UCCAAAUCUAUUAACCAUUCAAUCUAUUAAAAAUAAAAAAUUAGUUGACAGAAAGUUAUAUUUUUAAAUACAAGAAACUUGAGAAAGAAAAAUUUAAUUUUUUUUUUCAAAAUCUAAAUAUCCGAACCCGAUCCGAAAUAACCGAAUCCGAACUAAAAAUACCCGAACCCGACCCGAAGUACAGAAAUACCCGAAUGGGUUUUACACCUCUAUACCGAAAUACCCGAAAAUCCGAAAUACCCGACCCGAACCCGAACGGGUACCCGAACGCCCACCCCUA
rnacentral:lncRNA from 1 species